rnacentral:rRNA from 1 species
UACGUAGGGUGCGAGCGUUAAUCGGAAUUACUGGGCGUAAAGCGUGCGCAGGCGGUUUUGUAAGCCAGAUGUGAAAUCCCCGGGCUUAACCUGGGAAUGGCAUUUGGGACUGCAAGGCUGGAGUUUGGCAGAGGAGACUGGAAUUCCUGGUGUAGCAGUGAAAUGCGUAGAUAUCGUAAGGAAGACCAGUGGCGAAGGCGGGUCUCUGGACAGUUCCUGACGCUGAGGCACGAAGGCCAGGGGAGCAAACGGG